rnacentral:rRNA from 1 species
CCUANGGGAGGCAGCAGUGAGGAAUUUUCUGCAAUGGGCGCAAGCCUGACAGAGCAAUACCGCGUGAGGGAUGACUGCCUACGGGUUGUAAACCUCUUUUCUCAAGGAGGAAGAACUGACGUUACUUGAGGAAUAAGCAUCGGCUAACCCUGUGCCAGCAGCCGCGGUAAUACAGGGGAUGCAAGUGUUAUCCGGAAUUAUUGGGCGUAAAGCGUCUGCAGGUGGAUUUAUAAGUCUUUUGUUAAAUCUUUGAGCUUAACUCAAAAUCUGCAAAAGAAACUAUAUGUCUUGAGUAUAGUAGAGGUAAAGGGAAUUUCCAGUGGAGCGGUGAAAUGCGUAGAUAUUGGAAAGAACACCAACAGCGAAGGCACUUUACUGGGCUAUUACUGACACUCAGAGACGAAAGCUAGGGGAGCAAACGGGAUUAGAUACCCCANUANUA